rnacentral:rRNA from 1 species
CCUACGGGUGGCAGCAGUAGGGAAUUUUGCGCAAUGGGGGAAACCCUGACGCAGCAACGCCGCGUGAUCGAUGAAGCCCUUCAGGGUGUAAAGAUCUGUCAGUGGGGACGAAACCUGACGGUACCCACAGAGGAAGCACCGGCUAACUCCGUGCCAGCAGCCGCGGUAAUACGGGGGGUGCAAGCGUUGUCCGGAAUCAUUGGGCGUAAAGAGUUUGUAGGUGGCACGUUAAGUCUGGUGGUAAAGGCGGAAGCUCAACUUCCGUAGGGCAGUGGAUACUGGCGGGCUUGAAUGCGGUAGAGGUACGGGGAAUGCCUGGUGUAGCGGUGAAAUGCGUAGAUAUCAGGAGGAACAUCGGUGGCGUAAGCGCUGUACUGGGGCGUAAUUGACGCUGAGGAACGAAAGCCUGGGUAGCGAAUGGGAUUAGAUACCCCAGUAGUC